rnacentral:rRNA from 1 species
GUCUUUUUGAGUUUAAUUUAAAGUCUAAUCUGCCCACUGAUAAAUAUUUAAGGGCCGCAGUAUUUUGACUGUGCAAAGGUAGCAUAAUCAUUAGUCUUUUAAUUGAGGGCUUGUAUGAAUGAUUGGACGAGAUAUAAGCUGUCUCAUAUAAAUUUAAGUAGAAUUUUAUUUUUUAGUUAAAAAGCUAAAAUAAUUUUAAAAGACGAGAAGACCCUAUAGAUCUUUAUAAUUUAUUUUUAAAUUUUUUUAGGUUAUUUUUUAAGUUUAUAAUUUAAAUUAUUUUGUUGGGGUGACAAUGAAAUUUAAUAAACUUUCAUUAUUUUGAGACAUUAAUUUAUGAUUUAUUGAUCCACUAUUAGUGAUUAAAAAUUUAAGUUACCUUAGGGAUAACAGCGUAAUUAUUUUGGAGAGUUCUUAUCGAUAAAAUAGUUUGCGACCUCGAUGUUGGAUUAAGAUUAAUUUUGGGUGUAGCAGCUCAGUUUAUUAAGUCUGUUCGACUUUUAAUUUCUU